rnacentral:tRNA from 1 species
GAAGUUAUAGCUCAGUGGUAGAGCACAUGCUUAGCAUGCUUAGAAUGCACAGGGUCCUGGGUUCGAUUCCUAGUACCUCUA